rnacentral:rRNA from 1 species
GAUGAACGCUGGCGGCGUGCUUAACACAUGCAAGUCGAACGGAAAGGCCCAAGCUUGCUUGGGUACUCGAGUGGCGAACGGGUGAGUAACACGUGGGUGAUCUGCCCUGCACUUCGGGAUAAGCCGGGGAAACUGGGUCUAAUACCGGAUAGGACCACAUUUUGGAUGGUGUGGUGGAAAGUUUUUCGGUGUGGGAUGAGCUCGCGGCCUAUCAGCUUGUUGGUGGGGUAAUGGCCUACCAAGGCGUCGACGGGUAGCCGGCCUGAGAGGGUGUACGGCCACAUUGGGACUGAGAUACGGCCCAGACUCCUACGGGAGGCAGCAGUGGGGAAUAUUGCACAAUGGGCGCAAGCCUGAUGCAGCGACGCCGCGUGGGGGAUGACGGCCUUCGGGUUGUAAACUCCUUUCGCUAGGGACGAAGCGUUAUGUGACGGUACCUGGAGAAGAAGCACCGGCUAACUACGUG